CAAUGUACUCCCUACCCACAUUGAAUUGAUGACUUUUCAGAAGGAACAAGCACUUCAUUACUUACAUCUGAAGAAAAUGAAGGUUACUUCAAAGACAGAGUUUUAUCAGCAGAUGAAAUAACAUGGGCAGGUAGCAGUGAAGCAAAGGAAAUUUCUCUAAGCCAUAGAGGGUAUCCAGAAAAUGAACGUGAAGCAAUACAAUCUUCAUCAAAGAAAUUAUUUUCAAUGAUGAAAACCAACAAAACUAAAAAUUUAAUGUUUUCUUCUGACUUUAACUUUUCAAGAACUUCUAGAAUCACUAUGGAAAGUGAAGAUCUAGAUGUGGCAUCAUGCCCGUCUGCCCAUUUAUUUCUUUCUAGAGAC
rnacentral:lncRNA from 1 species